rnacentral:rRNA from 1 species
AACUCGGAGAUAGCUGGUUCUCCGCGAAAUCUAUUUAGGUAGAGCGUCGUACGAAUACCUCGGGGGGUAGAGCACUGGAUGGGUAAUGGGGCCCCACAGGCUUACUGAUCCUAACCAAACUCCGAAUACCCGAGAGUAAUAUACGGCAGACACACUGCGGGUGCUAACGCCCGUAGUGAAAAGGGAAACAACCCUGACCUCCAGCUAAGGCCCCUAAUUCAUGGCUAAGUGGGAAAGCAGGUGAGACGACCAAAACAACCAGGAGGUUGGCUUAGAAGCAGCCAUCCUUUAAAGAUAGCGUAACAGCUCACUGGUCUAAUUAAGUUGUCUUGCGGCGAAGAUGUACCGGGGCUCAAGCC